rnacentral:rRNA from 1 species
AGAGUUUGAUCCUGGCUCAGGACGAACGCUGGCGGCGCGCCUAACACAUGCAAGUCGAACGGAGCUUAGAGAGCUUGCUUUUUAAGCUUAGUGGCGAACGGGUGAGUAACGCGUGAGUAACCUGCCCUAGAGUGGGGGACAACAGUUGGAAACGACUGCUAAUACCGCAUAAGCCCACGGUGCCGCAUGACACUGAGGGAAAAGGAUUUAUUCGCUUUAGGAUGGACUCGCGUCCAAUUAGCUAGUUGGUGAGGUAACGGCCCACCAAGGCGACGAUUGGUAGCCGGACUGAGAGGUUGAACGGCCACAUUGGGACUGAGACACGGCCCAGACUCCUACGGGAGGCAGCAGUGGGGGAUAUUGCACAAUGGGGGAAACCCUGAUGCAGCGACGCCGCGUGGAGGAAGAAGGUCUUCGGAUUGUAAACUCCUGUUGUUGAGGAAGAUAAUGACGGUACUCAACAAGGAAGUGACGGCUAACUACGUGCCAGCAGCCGCGGUAAAACGUAGGUCACAAGCGUUGUCCGGAAUUACUGGGUGUAAAGGGAGCGCAGGCGGGAAGACAAGUUGGAAGUGAAAUCUAUGGGCUCAACCCAUAAACUGCUUUCAAAACUGUUUUUCUUGAGUAGUGCAGAGGUAGGCGGAAUUCCCGGUGUAGCGGUGGAAUGCGUAGAUAUCGGGAGGAACACCAGUGGCGAAGGCGGUCUACUGGGCACCAACUGACGCUGAGGCUCGAAAGCAUGGGUAGCAAACAGGAUUAGAUACCCUGGUAGUCCAUGCCGUAAACGAUGAUUACUAGGUGU